UACAACACUACAAUCUAAAAUCUUUAUGUUAGAGAAGGCAUAAAUCAUUAUAAAUAGUGCAAUUGAAUCAUUUAAAAAUAUGGGAAUUGAUAAAAAUGUGUGAUAUAAAUAAUAUAUCAUUGAAAGUCUUUCAUUCCGGACAUAAUAAAUUUAAACAGUGCUUAAAAGCAGAAAUGGUUGUAGCAAAAACCUGUUUAAAAACAGUACAGAUGACAUAAAAAAAAUACUUAACAAAGUUUUUCUCCCAUGAAGAGAUUGAAAAAUUGAUUGGAGAACCGAGAGCAGCGUUACAGCAGCGCUUCACAAAUUUAAGUAUCAUAAUAUAGGGCUGGGAUUUUGAUGCAAAGGAAUCUUUUUUUCUGGUGUUUUGAAACAUUGCUUUGAAAAGGCACUAAAACAGAAAAUAUUUUCUCAAAUAAUCUCCAUCACUUUUACUUUUAUCAUCUUCAUACAAAAUAUCAUGU